UACGGGAGGCAGCAGUGGGGAAUAUUGCACAAUGGGCGAAAGCCUGAUGCAGCUAUGCCGCGUGUAUGAAGAAGGCCUUAGGGUUGUAAAGUACUUUUCAUCGGGGAGGAAAAAACAAAACUAAUAAUUUUAUUUCUUGACGUUACCCGAAAAAGAAGCACCGGCUAACUCCGUGCCAGCAGCCGCGGUAAUACGGAGGGUGCUAGCGUUAAUCAGAAUUACUGGGCGUAAAGAGCACGUAGGUGGUUUUUUUAAAGUCAGAUGUGAAAUCCCUGGGCUUAACCUAGGAACUGCAUUUUGAAACUGAAAUACUAGAGUAUCGUAGAGGGAGGUAGAAUUCUAGGUGUAGCGGUGAAAUGCGUAGAUAUCUGGAGGAAUACCUGUGGCGAAAGCGGCCUCCUAAACGAAUACUGACACUGAGGUGCGAAAAGCGUGGGGAGCAAAACAGGGAUUAGAUACC
rnacentral:rRNA from 1 species